GGUAUAACUAGAAAAUGGGUGUCACAUUCAACGAGUUUAUAGCCUUGGCCGACAGGUCCGGGUAAUCUUUGAAAUUUCAUCGUGAUGGGGAUAGAUCAUUGCAAUUGUUGGUCUUCAACGAGGAAUUCCUACUAAGCGCGAGUCAUCAGCUCGCGUUGACUACGUCCCUGCC
rnacentral:ncRNA from 1 species